GAUGAACGCUGGCGGCGUGCCUAAUACAUGCAAGUCGAGCGAACGGACGAGAAGCUUGCUUCUCUGAUGUUAGCGGCGGACGGGUGAGUAACACGUGGAUAACCUACCUAUAAGACUGGGAUAACUUCGGGAAACCGGAGCUAAUACCGGAUAAUAUCUUGAACCGCAUGGUUCAAAAGUGAAAGACGGUCUUGCUGUCACUUAUAGAUGGAUCCGCGCUGCAUUAGCUAGUUGGUAAGGUAACGGCUUACCAAGGCAACGAUGCAUAGCCGACCUGAGAGGGUGAUCGGCCACACUGGAACUGAGACACGGUCCAGACUCCUACGGGAGGCAGCAGUAGGGAAUCUUCCGCAAUGGGCGAAAGCCUGACGGAGCAACGCCGCGUGAGUGAUGAAGGUCUUCGGAUCGUAAAACUCUGUUACUAGGGAAGAACAUAUGUGUAAGUAACUGUGCACAUCUUGACGGUACCUAAUCAGAAAGCCACGGCUAACUACGUG
rnacentral:rRNA from 1 species